rnacentral:tRNA from 1 species
GCCCUCGUGGUGAAACGGAUAUCAUGACGAUCUUCGGAAUCGUUGUUAGGGGUUCGAAUCCUCUCGAGGGCA